CCUACGGGAGGCAGCAGUGAGGAAUAUUGGUCAAUGGACGCAAGUCUGAACCAGCCAUGCCGCGUGCAGGAAGACGGCUCUAUGAGUUGUAAACUGCUUUUGUACGAGGGUAAAUCCCGAUACGUGUAUCGGGUUGAAAGUAGCGUACGACUAAGGAUCGGCUAACGCCGUGCCAGCAGCCGCGGUAAUACGGAGGAUUCAAGCGUUAUCCGGAUUUAUUGGGUGUAAAGGGUGCGUAGGCGGGUCGAUAAGUUAGAGGUGAAAGCCCGGGGCUCAACUCCGGCACUGCCUUUGAUACUGUCGGGCUAGAGUUUAGUUGCGGUAGGCGGAAUGUAUGGUGUAGCGGUGAAAUGCAUAGAGAUCAUACAGAACACCGAUUGCGAAGGCAGCUUACCAAACUACGACUGACGUUGAGGCACGAAAGCGUGGGGAGCAAACAGGAUUAGAUACCCUUGUAGUC
rnacentral:rRNA from 1 species